rnacentral:tRNA from 1 species
GCCGGUGGCACAAUGGUUAGAGCAUUGGCCCAAGCACCAAAUGGUCUCGGGUUCAAUUCCCGAUCAAGGCA